UGAGGUGUGUCAAGCCGUGAGGAGUCAGGGAAUGACCAAAUAAUAAUGAGUUAGCAAAGACAUCAGACUUUUAUCUCCUAGACCCUCUAAAACAUUCCUAGGAGAUCCCCAAGUUUAAGUCCAUGUGAAUUUACAUAUUAGUAAUUAUUUGUCUGACGGUGGCAAAGAGGACCGGGUAUGAGAGAGAGAGGAAUGAGAGGGAACAGUAAUUUCCCCGCCACAGGAAGUUUGGUGUGUCCGUGGUUCCCAACGCUCAACCCCAGCAGUACAGAAGAUGAUGCAAGAAGAGAGUGAUGCA